AUUGAACGCUGGCGGCAGGCCUAACACAUGCAAGUCGAGCGGAUGAAAGGGGCUUGCUCCUGGAUUCAGCGGCGGACGGGUGAGUAAUACGCAGGAAUCUACCUAGUAGUGGGGGAUAACGUUUCGAAAGGGACGCUAAUACCGCAUACGUUCUGAGGAAGAAAGCAGGGGAUCGUAAGACCUUGCGCUAUUAGAUGAGCUUGCGUCCGAUUAGCUAGUUGGUGGGGUAAAGGCCUACCAAGGCGACGAUCGGUAACUGGUCUGAGAGGAUGAUCAGUCACACUGGAACUGAGACACGGUCCAGACUCCUACGGGAGGCAGCAGUGGGGAAUAUUGGACAAUGGGGGCAACCCUGAUCCAGCCAUGCCGCGUGUGUGAAGAAGGGCCUCGGUUGUAAGUNACGNUCGGGGGACGGAAGUACGUAGACGGUA
rnacentral:rRNA from 1 species